AUUGAGGUACGUAACAACAUUUGAAAUUGUAUAUUUAUUUUGGACAAUAAUUAACUUGAGCUUGAAUUUCCCGGGUUCAAUUUCAAACUCAAGUUAAUUAGGUUAUGUUAGACAACGCCUUAUAUUGUAUUUUCUCUAUUUCAAGUUAUGCUGAAUUGAAUAUUUGUGUAAUAAGUAGUGACUGUUUCGCAUUUGUUUUGUUUUGCGAGGACUAAUGCCAUUGACUAUCGGGUUUAAGGUCAACCUCAAAUUAUUUAGGUAUUAUUUGACAAUGCUUUAUGUUGUACUUUGUUUGUUUCAAGUUAUGCUGAUUUUAAUUUUUGAGUAAUGAGUAGUGACUGUUUUGCAUUUAUUGUGUUGUGCGAGAACUGAUGCUGUUACCAAGUACUCUCAAAUACAUAUCUCCACGCCUUUAAAUAUUGAGGUACGUAACAAACAUUUGAAAUUGUAUAUUUAUUUUGGACAAAAUUAACUUGAGCUUGAAAUUUCCGCGGUUUCAAUUUCCAAACUCAGUUAAUUAGAUUAUGUUAGACAACGCCUUAUAUGUAUUUUCUCUAUUUCAAGUUAUGCUGAAUUGAAUAUUGUGUAAUAAGUAGGAACUGUUCGCUUUGUUUUUGUUUUGCGAGGACUAAUGCAUUGACUAUCGGUUUUAACGUCCAACCUCAAUUAUUUAGGUAUUGACAAUGCCUUAUGUUGGUACUUUUUUAUUUCAAGUUAUUCUGAUUUGAUUUUUGAGUAAUGAGAGUACUGUUUUGCAAUUUAUUGUGUUGUGCGAGAACUGAUGCUAUUACCAAGUACUCUCAAAUACAUAUUCACGCCUUAACAUGUUGGGUACGUAAAAACAUUUGGAAAUUGUAUAUUUUAUUUGACAAUACUUAUUGAACUUGAAAUUUUCCGGGUUCAAUUUAAAACUCAGUUAAUUAGGUUAUGUUAGACCACCCUUAUAUUGUAUUUUCCUCUAUUUCAAGUUAUACUAAUUUUGAAAUAUUUGUGUAUAAUUAGUUACUGUUUUGCAUUUAUUUUGUUUUGCGAGGACUAAUGACAUUGACUAUCGGGCUAAACUUCAACCACAAAUUUUUAGGUAUUAUUUGACAAUGCUUUAAUUGUAACUUUGUUUAUUUCAAGUUAUGCUGAUUUUGACUUUUUGAGUACUGAUAGUGCUGACUGUUUUGGCAGAAAUGAUGCUCUACCAUACUCUCAAAUACCUAUCUCCAGCCUUAAAUAUUUAGGUACGUAACAAACAUUUGAAAUUGUAUAUUUAUUUUGGACAUAAGUAACUUGAGCUUGAAAUUCUCGGGUUUACUUUCAAAUCAGUGAAUUAGGUAUUGUUAGCCAACGCCUAUAUUUUAAUUUUCUCUAUUUCAAGUUAAGGCUGAUUUGAAUAUUGGUGUAAUAAGUAGUGACUGUUUUGCAUUGAAUUUGUUUUUGUCAAGAACUAAUGACCUGCUAUCGGGCUAACUUCAACCACAAAUGAUUUAGGAUAUAUUUGACAAUGCUUUAUGUUGAACUUUGUUUAUUUCAUGUAGCGGAAUUUGAAUUUUUGAGUAUGAGUAGUGACUGUUUUUGGCAUUUAGUGUGUUGUUCGCGAACUGUCUAUUAACAAGUACUCUUCAAAUACUUAUCUCCAUGCCUUUAAAUAUUGAUGUACUAACACACAUUUGAAAUUGUAUAUUUUAUUUGAACAAUAAUUACUUUAGCUUGAAAUUUUUCGGUUUAUUUAAACUUCAAGUUAAUUAGGUUAAUGUUAGACAACGCCUUAUAUUGUAUUUUCUCUAUUUCAAGUUAGCUGCUGAUUUAAAUAUUUGUGUAAUCAAGUAGUGACUGUUUACAAUUGUUUUUGUUUUGCGAGGACUAAUGCCAUUGACUAUUGGGUUUAACUUCACCUCAGAUUAUUUAGGUAUUAUUGACAUUCUUAUGUUGUACUUUGUUUAUUUCAAGUUAUGCUGAUUUGACUUUUGAGUAAUGACUAGUUACUGUUUUGCAUUUUAUUGUGUUGUGCGAGAACUGAUGCUACUUCCAAGUACUCUCAAAUACUAUCAUCCAUGCUUUAAAUAUUGAGGUACUACAACAUUUGAAUGUAAUUUUAUUUUGGACAAUAAUUACUGAGCUUGAAAUUUUCCUGGGUUCAAUUUAAAACUCAAGUUAAUUAGGUUAUGUUAGACAACGCCUUAGUUGUAUUUUCCUCUAUUUCAAGUUAUGCUAAUUUGAAUAUUUGUGUAAAAUAGUCGGUUUUGCAUUUGUUUUGUUUUGCGAGGACAAUGACAUUGACCUAAUCGGGCUAACUUCAACCACAAAUAUUGAUAUUGAUUUGACAAUGCUUUAUGUUGAACUUUGUGUAGUCAAGUUUGCUGAUUUGAUGUUUGAGUAAUGAUAGUGACUGUUUUGCUUUAUGGUGUGUGCGGACUUAUGCUGUUAGCAAGGACUUCUCAAUACAUAUACCUCCACGCCUUUAAAUAUUGAGGUACGUAACCAACAUUUAAACUGUAUAUUUAUCUCGGACAUAAUUAACUUGAGCUUGAACUUUUUCGUGUUCAAUUUCAAACUCAAGUUAAUUAGGUUAUGUUAGCAACGCCUUUGUUGUAUUUUCUCUAUUUUCGAAUUUCGCGAUUUGAAUAUUUGUGUAAUAGUAGUGACUGUUUUGCAUUUGUUUUGUUUGCGGGACUACUGCCAUUGCCUAUUGGAUUAACUUCAACCUCAGAUUAUUAGGUAUUAUUUGACAAUGCUUUAUGUUGCACUUUGUUUAUUUCAAGUUAUGCUUAUUUGAUUGAAUUUUUGAGGUAAGAGUAGUUAGUUUUGCAUUGAUUUGUGUUGUGCGAAAACUGAGCUAUUACCAAGCAGUACUCUCAAAUACAUAAAUCCUCCACGCCUUUAAAUAUUGAGGUACGUAACAAACAUUUAAAACUGUAUAUUUAUCUCGGACAAUAAUUAAACUUGACUUGCAUUUUUCGGGUUCAAUUCAACUCAAGUUAGUUAGGUUAUGUUAGACAACGCCUUAUGUUUUUGUAUUUUCCCUAUUUCGAAUUUCUGCUGACAAUUUGAAUACUUGUGUAAUAAGUAGUGAUGUUGUGCAUUUGUUUUGUUUUGCGAGGACUAAUUGCCAUUGACUAUUGGAUUUUUAACUUCAACCUCAGAUUAUUUAGGUAUUAUUGGACAAUGCUUAUGUUGCUACUUUGUUUAUUUCAAGUUAGGCUGAUUUGAAUUUUUUAGUAAUGAGUAGUUACCUGUUUGCAUUAUUGUGUUGUGCGAGAACUGAUGCUAUUACCAGUACUUCAAAUACAUAUCUCCAUGCCUUUAAAUAUUGAGGUACGUCAACAACAUUUGAAAUUGUAUAUAUUUAUUUUUGCGACAAUAAUUAUACUUGAGCUUGAAAGUUUUCCUGGUUCAAUUAAAACUAAUUUAAUUGGUUAUGUUACAGACAACCUUGUCGCCUUAAUAUUGUAUUUUCUCUAAUUUCAAGUUAUGCUCUUUGAAUAUGGUGUAAUACGUAGUUCUUGUUUCGCAUUUGUUUUGUUUUGCGAGGACUAAUGACAUGACUAUCGGGCUUUUCAAACUUCAACUCAGAUUAUUUAGGUAUUAUUUGACAAUGAUUUAUGUUGAACUUUGUUUAUUUCAGUUAUGCUGAUUUAAAUUUGAGUGAAUGCGUAGUGAUUGUUUUGCAUUUAUUGUGUUGUGCGAGAAUGAUGCUAUCCACGUACUCUCAAAUACAGAAUCUCCACGCCUUUUAAAAUAUUGAGGUACGUAACAAACAUUGAAAUUGUAUAUUUAUUUUGGGACAAUAAAUUAAACUUGAGCUUGAAAUUUUCCGGGUUCAAUUGAAAAACUCAAGGUAAUUAGGAUGUUAGCAACGCUUAAUUGUAUGUUCUCUAUUUCAAGUUAUGACUAAUUUGAAUAUUGUGUUGUAUAAAGUAGUGACUGUUUUGCAUUUGUUUUGUUUUGCGCGGACUAAUGAGAUGACUCUCAAACUGUAUUUAUUCUUGAGACAAUAAUUAAUUUGAUCUUGAAUUUCUCGGAUCAGUUCAAACUCAUGUUAAUUAGGGGUAGGUUAGACAACGCCUUAGUGUAUUUUCUCUAUUUCGAAUUACACUGAUUGAAUAUUGUUGUAAUAAGUAGUAACUGUUGGUAUUUGUUUUGUUUUGCGAGGACGAAUGCCAUGACUACGGGUUUAACUUAACCUCAAAUUCUUAGUAUUAUUUGACCAAUGCUUAUGUUUGGACUGGUAUUUCAAGUUAUCCUGAUUGAAUUUUUGAGUAGUAAAUAGUGACUGUUUUGCAUUAUUUAUUGUGCGAGAAACUGAUGUUUACCAAGUACUCUCAAAUAAAUAUCUCCACGCUUUAAAUAUUGAGGUACGUAACAAAAAAUGUAAAACUGUAUAUUAUCUCGGACAAUAAUUAACUUGAGCUUGAAAUUUUUCGGGUUCAAUUUCAAACUCAAGUUAGUUAGGUUAUGUUAGAAAACGCCCUUAUGUUGGAUGAUGUUGGAUUUUCUCUAUUUCGAAUUUCGCUGAUUUUGAUAUGUGGUAAUAAGUAGUGAAUGUUUUGCAUUUGUUUUGUUUUCCGAGGACUAAUGCCAUUGAACUAUUGGGAUUAACUUCAACCUAAGCUAUUUAGGUAUUAUUUGACAAUGCUUUAUGUUGUACUUUGUGUAUUUCAAGUUAUGUGAUUGAAUUUUUGAGUAAUGAGUAGUUACUGUUUUGCAUUUAUUGGGUUGUCGAGAACUGAUGCUAUUACCAAGUACUCUCAAAUACAUUAUCUCCAUGCUUAAAUAUUGAGGUAAGUAACAAACAUUUGAAAUUGUAUAUUUUUUUUGGACAAUAAUUAAUUGAGCUUGAAAUUUUCCGGGUUAAUUUAACAACUCAAGUUAAUUAGGUGUAUGUUAGCACCGCCGCAUAUUUGUAUUUUCUCUAUUUCAAGUUAUGCUAAUUUGAAUAUUUGUGUUAAAUAAGUAGUUACUGUUGCAUUUGUUUUGUAUUUGCGAGGACUAAUGACCAUUGGGACUCGGGGCUACUAACUUCAAACCACAAAUUAUUUAGGUAUAUUGACAAUGAUUUAGUUGUACUUUGUUUAUUUCAAGUUAUGUGUUUGAAUUUUUGAGUAAUGAGUAGUGACUGAUUUGCAUUAUGUGUGUGCGAGAACUGAUGCUGUUACCAAGUACUCUCAAAUACAUUUCUCCACGCCUUUAAAUUAUUGAGGUACGUAACAAAAUUUGAAAUUAUAUAUUAUGCUGGACAAUAAUUAACUUGAACUUGAAAUUCCCGGUUUCAAUUUCAACCAGUUAAUUAGGUUAUGUUAGAAAACGCCUUAUAUUGUAUUUUCUCUAUUCAAGUUAUGUUGAAUUGAAUAUGUUGUAAAUAGUUAGUGAACUGUUUCGCAUUUGUUUUGUUUUGCGAGGGACUAAUUCCAUUGACUAUCGGAGUUUAAGCUUCAACCUCAGAUUAUUUAGGUAUUAUUUGACAAUGGUUUAUGUUGAACUUUGUUUAUUUCAAGUUAUGCUGAUUUAAUUUUUGAGGAAUGAGUAGUUAUUGUUUGCAUUUAUUGUGUUGGGCGAGAAAUGAUGUAUUACAAGUAUUCAAAAUACAUAGCUCCCACAGAGCCUUUAAAUAUUGAGUACGUAACAAACAUUGAAAAUUGUAUAUGUAUUUUGGACAAUAAUUAAACUUGAGCUUGACAUUCCCGGGUUCAAUUAAAACUGCAAGUUAGUUAAUUAGGUUUUUAUGUUAGGCAACGCGUAUUGUAUUUUCUAUAUUUCAAGUUAUGCUAAAUUUGAAAUAUUUGGUAAUGUAAUAAGUAGUGCUGUUUCAUUUGUUUUGUUUUGCGAGGACUUAAUGAUAUUGACUAUCGGGCUAAACUCAACCACAAAUUAUUUAGGUAUUAUUUGACAUGCGUUAUUGGAACUUUGUGUAUUUCAAGUUAUGCGAUUUGAAUUUUGGUGAGUAAAUGAGUAUGACUAUGUUUUGAAUUUAUUGUGUUGAUGCGAGAACUGAUGCUGUUACACCAAGUACUCUCAAAAUACAUAUAUCCACGCCUUUAAAUAUUGAGGUACGUAACAAACAUUUGAAAUUAUAUAUUUAUGUUGGACAAUAAUUAAUUGAGAACUUGAAAUUUCCCGGUUCAUUUCAAACUCAAGUUAAUUAGGUUAUGUUAGAUCAACGCCUCUUAUAUUGUCUUUUCUCAUUUCAAGUUAUGAUGAAAUUGAAAUUGUGUGUAAUAAGUGGUGACUGGUUUCGCAUUUGUUUUGUUUGGCGAGGACUAAUGCGAUUGACUAUCGGUGUUUUAACUUAAACCUCAGAUUAUUUAGGUAUUAGUAUUUGACCAAUUAUUUAUGUUGAACUUUGUUUAUUUCAAGUUAUGCUGAUUUGAAUUUUUGAGUAAUGAGUAGUGACUGUUUUGCAUUUAUGUUGUGCCUGAGAAGCUGAGCUAUUACCAAGUACUCUCAAAUAAUUCUCCCGGACGCCUUUAAAUAUUGAAGGACGUAACAAACAUUUGAAAUUGUAUAGUUAUUUUGGACAAUAAUUACUUGAGCUUGCAAUUUCCCGGGUUCAUUUCAAAAUCCAGUUUAAUAGGUUAUGUUAGGCAAGCCUUAUAUGUAUUUUCUUCUAUUUCACGUUCUUGCACAUUUGCAUCUUUGUGUAAUAAGUCGUGAUCUGUUUUGCAUGUGUUUUGUGUUUGGCGAGGAUAAUGAUAAUUGACUACGGGCUAAACUUCAACACAAAUUAAUGUAGGUAUAUUUGACAAUGAUUUAUGUUGAACUUGUGUAUUCAAGUAUGCUUGAUUUGCAUUUUGCAGAAUGAGUAAGUGCUGUUUUGCAUUUAUGUGUUGUGUGACGGGAGAACUGAUGACUUGUUACCAAGUUACUCUCAGUAAAUUACAUAUCUCCACGCCUUUAAAUAUUGAGGUACGUAACAAACAUUUGAAAUUAUAUAUUUAUGUUGGACAAUAAUUAACUUGAACUUGAAAUUUCCCGGUUUCAAUUUCAAACUCAAGUUAAUUAGGUUAUGUUAGACAACGCCUUAUAUUGUAUUUUCUCUAUUUCAAGUUAUGCUGAAUUGAAUAUUUGUGUAAUAAGUAGUGACUGUUUCGCAUUUGUUUUGUUUUGCGAGGACUAAUGCCAUUGACUAUGGGUUUAACUUCAACCUCAGAUUAUUUAGGUAUUAUUUGACAAUCAUUUAUGUUGAACUUUGUUUAUUUCAAGUUAUGCUGAUUUGAAUUUUUGAGUAAUGAGUAGUGACUGUUUUGCAUUUAUUGUGUUGUGCGAGAACUGAUGCUGUUACCAAGUACUCUCAAAUACAUAUCUCCACGCCUUUAAAUAUUGAUAGUGUACGUAAACAAAUAUUUGAAUUAAUAUUUAUGUUGGACAUAAUUAAAUUGAACUUGAAAAUUCCCGGUUUCAAUCUUCUAAAACUAAGAGUUAAUUAGGUUAUGUUAGACCACUCCUUAUAUGGUAUUUUCUCUAUUCAAGUUAUGGUAAUUGAAUAUUGUGUAAAAGAAGUAGUGACUGUUUCGCAUUGUUUUGUUUUGCGAGGACUAAUUCCAUUGACUAUCGGGUUUUAACUUCAACUCAGAUUAUUUAGGUAUAUGUGACAAUGAUUGAUGUUGAAAUUUGUUUAUUUUCAAGUUAUGUGAUUCUAAAUUUUUGAGUAAUGAGUAGUGAUCUGUUUUGCAUUUAUUGGUGUGCGAGAACUGAUGUUGUUACAAGUACUCUCAAUACAUUAUCUCCACGACUUUAAAUAUUGAGGUACGUAACAAACAUUUGAAAUGUAUAUUUAUUUUGGACAAUAAUUAACUUUGAGCUUGCAAAAUUUUCCGGGUUCAAAGUUCAAACUCAAGUUAAUUAGGUUAUGUUAGCAACAACGCCUUAUAUUGUAUUUUCUCCUAUUCAAGUUAGCUAAUGUGAAUAUUUGGGUAAUAAGUAGUGACUGUUUUGCAUUGUUUUGUUUUGCAGGAUAAUGAUAUUGAAUCGGGCUAAAAACUUCAACCACAAAUGAUUUAGGUAUUAUUUGACAAUGUGUAUGUUGAACUUUGUUGAUUUCAAGUUAUGCUGAUUUGAAUUUGGAGUAAUGAGUAGGGACUGUUGUGCAGUUAUUUGUUGUGCGAGAACUGAUGCUCGUUACAAGUACUCUCAAAUACAUUAUCUCAGCCUUUAAAUAUUGAGGACGUAACAAACAUUUGAAAUUGGAUAUUUAUUUUGGCAAUAAUUAAACUUGAGUUUGAAAUUCCCGGGUUCAAGUUCCAAACUCGAGGUAAUUAGUAUGUUAGACAACGCCCUAUAUUGUAUUUUCUCUAUUUCAAGUUAUGCCCUGAUUGAAUAUUUGUAAUAAGUAGAAAAUGACUGUUUCGAAUUUGUUUUGUUUUGCGAGGACUAAUGCCAUUGGCUAUCGGGUUUUAACGGUCAACCUCAAAUUAUUUAGGUAUUAUUUGACAAGCUUUAUUUUGUACUUUGUUUAUUCAUGUUAUGCGAUUUUAAUUUGUAGUUAAAUAGUAGUGACUAUUUUGCAUAUGGUGUGCGAGAACUGAUGUUGUUACCAAGUACUCUCCAAAUACAUAUCUCCACGCCUUUAAAUAUUGAGGUACGGAACAACAUUGAAAUUGUAUAUUAUUUUGGACAAUAAUUAACUUGAGCUUGAAAGUUCCCGGGUUCAAUUUCAAACUCAAGUUAUUAGGUUAUGUUAGACAACGCUUAUAUUGUAUAUUUCUCUAUCAAGUUUGCUAAAUUUGAAUAUUUGGGUAAUAAGUAGUGAUGUUUUGCAUUUGUUUUUGUUUUUCGAGGACUAAUGACAUUGACUAUCGGGCUAAACCAAAACACAAAUUAUUUAGGUAUUAGGUUGAUAAUACUUUAUGUGGAACGUUGUUUAUUUAAGUUAGGCUGAUUUGAUUUUGAGUAAUGAGUAGUGACUGUUUGCAUUUAUGGGUGUGCGGAACUGAUGCUAUUACCAAGUACUCUCAAAUACAUACUCCCGCCUUUAAAAUAUUGAGGUACGUAACAAAAUUUGAAAUUGGAUAUUUAUUUUGGACAAUAAUUAACUUGAGCUUGAAAUUUCCGGGUUCAAUUUCAAACUCAAGUUAAUUAGGUUAUGUUAGCGACGGCCUUAUAUUGUAUUUUUCUAUUUCAAGUUAUGCUGAAAUUGAAUAUUGUGUAAUAUGUAGUGACUGUUUCGCAUUGUUUUGUUUUGCGAGAACUAAUGCAUUGACUAUCGGGUUAACGUCAACCUCAAAUUCUUUAGUUAUUUAUUUGACAAUGCUUUAUGUCGUACAUUGUUUAAUCAAGUUAGCUGAUUAAAUUUUGAGUAGUGGACGUUCGCAUUUAUUGUUGUGGUGCAGAACUGAUCCAUACCAAGUCUCUCAAAUACAUAUCUCCCCGCCUUUAAAUAUUGAGGUAGUAACAAACAUUUGAAAUUGUAUAUAUUUAUUUUGGACAAUAAUUACUGAGCUUGAAAUUUUCCGGGUUCAAUUUCAAACUCAAGUUAAUUAAGGUUAUGUUAGACAACGCCUUAUAUUUUAUUUUCUCUUUUCAGUUCUGCUGAUUUGAAUAUUUGUGUAAUAAGUAGUGCUUUUUUACCAUUUGUUUUUGUUUUUCGAGGACUAAUGCCAUGACUAUCGGGUUUAACGUCACCUCAGUUAUGUAGGUUAUAUUUGACAAUGAUUUAUGUUGAACUUUUUAUUCAAUUAUGUGAUUUGAAUUAUGAGUAAUGACAGUCGAGACUGUUUUUGGCAUUUAUGUGUUUGUUCAGAAUUUUGUAUGCUGUAACAAGUACUCUCAAAUACAUAUCCCCGCUUUAAAUAUUGAGGUUUCGUUACCACAUUUUAAAUUGUUAUUUAUUUUGGACAAUAAUUAAUUUGAUUUUUUUUUCUUGAAAUUUUUUUCCGGUUCAUUUCAAACUCAAGUUAAUUAGGUUAUGUUAGACAACUCCUUAUCUUGUAUUUUCUCUAUUUCAAGUUUGCGGAAUGAAAUAUUUGUGUAAUAAUUAGUGACUGUUUUCGCAGUUGUUUUGUUUUGCGCGGACUAA
rnacentral:lncRNA from 1 species